rnacentral:rRNA from 1 species
CCUACGGGAGGCAGCAGCCGCGGUAAUAUUGGACAAUGGGGGCAAGCCUGAUCCAGCAAUACCGCGUGUGUGAAGAAGGCCUGAGGGUUGUAAAGCACUUUCAGCGAGGAGGAAGUAUAUAUUGUUAAUAGCAAUAUAUGUUGACGUUACUCGCAGAAGAAGCACCGGCUAACUCUGUGCCAGCAGCCGCGGUAAU